rnacentral:rRNA from 1 species
GAUGAACGCUGGCGGCGUGCCUAAUACAUGCAAGUCGAGCGAACGGACGAGAAGCUUGCUUUUCUGAUGUUAGCGGCGGACGGGUGAGUAACACGUGGAUAACCUACCUAUAAGACUGGGAUAACUUCGGGAAACCGGAGCUAAUACCGGAUAAUAUUUUGAACCGCAUGGUUCAAAAGUGAAAGACGGUCUUGCUGUCACUUAUAGCUGGAUCCGCGCUGCAUUAGCUAGUUGGUAAGGUAACGGCUUACCAAGGCAACGAUGCAUAGCCGACCUGAGAGGGUGAUCGGCCACACUGGAGCUGAGACACGGUCCAGACUCCUACGGGAGGCAGCAGUAGGGAAUCUUCCGCAAUGGGCGAAAGCCUGACGGAGCAACGCCGCGUGAGUGAUGAAGGUCUGCGGAUCGUAAAACUCUGUUAUUAGGGAAGAACAUAUGUGUAAGUAACUGUGCACAUCUUGACGGUACCUAAUCAGAAAGCCACGGCUAACUACGUG